rnacentral:rRNA from 1 species
GGUCCAGCCUGCCCAGUGAUUACUUAAACGGCCGCGGUACCCUAACCGUGCAAAGGUAGCACAAUUACUUGUCCUUUAAAUGAAGACUAGAAUGAAUGACACCACGAGAGUUGUACUGUCUCCUUACCCCAAUCAGUGAAACUGACCUCCCCGUGAAAAGGCGGGAAUUAAAAUACUAGACGAGAAGACCCCAUGGAGCUUUAGACAUCGAACAAAUUCAAGCCUUCAUCUAUUAGCCCAAAAUUUAUGUUUCUAAGUCUUUGGUUGGGGCGACCAUGGAGUAAAAACUAACCUCCACACCGAAUGGAUACCUCCUUAUCUAAGAGAAACACCUCUAAGAAACAGAACACUGACGUACACUGAUCCGGAAUCCGAUCAAUGAACCAAGUUACCCUGGGGAUAACAGCGCCAUCUACCUAAAGAGUCCAUAUCGACAGGUAGGUUUACGACCUCGAUGUUGGAUCAGGGUAUCCUAGUGGUGCAGCCGCUACAUAAGGUUCGUUUGUUCAACGAUUAAAACCCU